UACGUAGGGUGCAAGCGUUAAUCGGAAUUACUGGGCGUAAAGCGCACGUAGGCGGAUACUUAAGUUAGGGGUGAAAUCCCGGGGCUCAACCCCGGAACUGCCUUUAAUACUGGGUAUCUCGAGUUCGAGAGAGGUGAGUGGAAUUCCGAGUGUAGAGGUGAAAUUCGUAGAUAUGCGGAGGAACACCGAUGGCGAAGGCAGAUCUCUGGGCCGUAACUGACGCUGAGGAGCGAAAGCAUGGGGAGCGAACAGG
rnacentral:rRNA from 1 species